AAAAAAAAAAAAAAAAAAGAAAGAAAAUCACAUCCCUUCUUUUCACAAGUCAGUCUGCAGGAAAACAGCCUGUUGCUUGGCAAGAGUGACACUGAAGUGAAACCUCAAUGACAACCAGCGUUUGACUACUGCAUACCGAAGUGUUCCCACAGCGUAGAUAACCCCCCAUAAAGAAACAAUGCCUAUGGCAUAGAUAACCUUUCAUAAAGACGUUUAUCUCAUCUCCCUAGAGGUCACAAGUUUUGGCAAGGAAGUGUGAGAUGUGACCAGCUGCACUUGUCUGUACCCUAAAAGCUUGCUAUGUAAAGGCUGCUUUCUGGAGGGCAGGUGCAAAGAUCCACCAUCUCACAGCUGCCAGAGACAUGGCUUCUGUUUGUACGUCCCUAUCAAAUGUUUCUUUCUGAGAAACUGGACGUGUCAGCCUCUUUCCUCACCUCUUUUCUCAGCCUCUCACCCUGUGGGGUGGGGUUUGCAUAGACCUGCUCACCGCGGAACACAGCCACUUUUACCUUGUUCAUUUGUGAAAAAUUAAUAACUUCCCUGCUGAAAAUUUCCAAGACUGUUAGGUACAAUGUGCAAUUAAACUUUGGAUCUUCACUGGACGUUUACUGGAGAAGUAGUUAGCAUGUGCCCCAGGCGCAGAUAAAAAGGCAACGCAAGACAGAGCUAAGGGAGUUAUUGGCUUGUGGUCACCAUGAGUCAACAGCAGCAAAAUUUGAUCAAGAGCCUCCACAUCUUAAAAGUUCUUAGGCCAUUACCUAAGCACACAGACAUCAAGCUAUGUUGUUCAGUCCUCAACCUAGGUGUCAUCCUUGAUUUCUCCCUUUCCACAUCCAAUGAAUAAUUAAAAAAUAAGCAAAUGUGUAUUGAUUACCAUUUUCUCAAAAUUGUCAUGGAGCUUUACAUGGAGUAAAUAUUAAUGCUUAAAUUCUCAUAGGAACACAAUGUGGUAGGUAUAUGAGUAUCAUUCUCAUCUUUCAGAAGGGAAGACUGAGGCCAGGGAAAGUUUAAUAAGCUGCUCCAGGACUUCUCCUUAAUAAGUAGCAAGUCCUCUGCCACUCUCCCCUAUAUCUAUCCUGUGUCCUGCCCCUUCUCAAACGCCCGAUCAUCCCCCAGGCAGUCUCGUCUGCUGUCAUUGCUUUCUUGUCUCUCUGCUUCUACUCAUAUCAUCACCAACAGCAAAGUAGGCAGCUGUCUUUUUAAAAAUCAAUCAGAUCAAGCCAUGCUCUUACUUAAAACCCUGUAAUGACCCAGCACUUUGGGAGGCCAAGGUGGCUGGAUCACUUGAGGUCAGGAGUUCAAGACUGGCCUUGCCAACAUGGUGAAACCCCAUCUCUACUAAAAAUACAAAAAUUAGCCGGGCAAAUUUGAUCAAGAGCCUCCACAUCUUAAAAGUUCUUAGGCCAUUACAUAAGCACACAGACAUCAAGCACACAGAGCAAAUUAGCACAAGUGGCCCACCCAUAAGAAUCACUUGAACCCGGGAGGCGGAGGUUGCAGUGAGCCGAGAUUGUGCCACUGAACUCCAGCCUGGGCAACAGAACAAAAAACAAACAAACAAAAAAACUCCUGUUUCUUUAUGUCUGCUUAUUACAAAAAGUAUAAACUCAUAUUGAUUGUCAGGGCUGUCCUAUACACAACUCCAAGGCGUCUAUUUAUUUUGCAUUCUAUGGGCUUCCUAAUGGAUGUGCCCUGGGGGUGAGGUGCUGCACACAUGCAUAUAAUGGGAAUACCGCUCCCUGCACAGUAUUCCCCAAAAGAAUAGGUAGUGAGAAGGUGUGUGUAAUGGUAGAAUCUCACAAAUCCCAUGCAUUGAGUCUAUUUUCAAAAUAUCCCAGGAGGCCAUCUUGAUGCUUCCAAAGUCACCAGAGCAGCACUGCAGUGGGUGGGACCAGUAUUUC
rnacentral:lncRNA from 1 species